AGGCUGCAGCCCCCAACAUCUCUCACCCGCACCAUUGGCGAGGUGCGGGCUCUGGGAUUGCUCCUGCUUGACUCCAUCUUGGGAAGGACUGCUCCCUUUCACCAGCUACCCCACCGGGCUUCAGGCCUUCAAAGCAAGGCCUUUCUGCCUCUCUGCCUCCUCUCGGGCCUCCCGCCGUGGGCUUCCAGAGCAGGCUGCGUCACAUGGAACCCUUGGCCCAUUUGGACUCCACUGGACCCCAUCAGCCAUGACUUGGAGAAGGAGCUUUUGAAGGAAGAAUCCACCAAGACUUUAGUCUUCCCCCAACCCAGGAAAAAAGAAGAGAGAGAGAGGAAAAAAAAAAAAAGUCCUGAAAACAAAACCGCUACAACAACCUUAAAGUAGGAGAGAUUGGUUGGAAGGCUUUUAAUCCCUUAAUCCCUCUCAGAUGGGCCUUGAGACGCUAAUGAUUUUCCUAAUUAUUCCCUCCCAUUUUCCCAUAGCUCUGUAAGGACUCUCGAGAGGAGUGAAAUUCCUAGUGAGCGGUGUGGGGUGAAUGGUGAGCCCAGUUCCCCCCAGACGGAGCCCAGAGUCCAGGCGGCUGGAGAGAGCAUUCAUCACCGUCUCUAUGGAUUUUGCUUAUUUAUUUAUUUUUUGGAUUCAUGUUGUUCUUGCGCACUAGCCUCAUGAAGCCAGAGGUCCUGGGGUCUGUUGGUGCAGGCUGGUGCCCUGGCAUGCAGAGCAGCCCUUGGCACUUAGAGGCGCUCAGUCCAUAUUAGGAAAAGCCCAGAUGACCUGGGUUUGCAGCUGAAGGCUCUUGACCAAGCCACACUGAAGCAGAGAAACGGCAGACUAUUGGUGUGGGUUUCUGGCCGGUGGGGUCCUUCAGCACCUGGAGCCACAGCCGGAGGGUCCUUCCCAGUGCCCCCCAGCCCGGGCUAAGCCCCUAAGUGUCCCAUUAUGCACCAUUCACUUCUCACUUUGUCGAGCCCGUCCGCAGCCGCUGCGUCCUUUUGUCAGAGGGGCCUGGGAGUGCAAGGGGCUAUUACCACGAGGCCUCAUUAUUCCCAGCCAGAGCAAUAAUGAGGAGUCCCUUCCCCAGGCUAGCACAAUCUGUAGGGUCCCUCCCAUUUAAUAACUAUAAUAACAGCCACCAUUUAUGAGCCCCUGCUUCAUGCCCCGCUGCGCACCAAGCACUUUACAUACAUUAUCUCAUUUAAUUCCUCCAACAGCUCUGGCAAUCAGCUACUAUUUGUAUCCCCAUUUUUCAGAUAAGAACGCCAAGACCGGUGCCCAGAGCCCCGUUAUCCUUAGCUCAGCCAUACAGGGGGAGGAAGGGCAGGGAUACAUCCAUGUCCCAGGUGGAACAUGGAGGCGCAGAGAGGGAAGGUGGCCUGGGAGAGAGCACACGGCAGAGUAUUGGGGACCACAGCUAGGACCGGGCAGCAAGAGUCCCUCGGGCACAGAGGAGGGCGAGCAGCAGUCCCCAGAGCGCUCCAGGCCAGAGCAGCCAGGCCUUCACUGUGUUCACAGGGGCAGCUGCUGGCUCCGGGACUUGGCCUGUGCAGAGCUAGUGAGACUCCAGGGGCUCUGCCCAUGAGGCCCAUCCGGCAGUGAGGAGCACUUUCGCUCUCUGGGCCAACACUGAAAUGCUCUUAGAGGGCCAGGGGGUGUGUAGGGCAGAGUGACCAGGCUCUGGGAGGAGGCAGGAACCUGGUGGGAGGAAGGGGAGGAUGAGAAAAGGAACUGAAGCUCCACUCUUUCCUCUCCAGGGAGGAGUCUCAGGGG
ensembl:lncRNA